AUUGAACGCUGGCGGCAGGCUUAACACAUGCAAGUCGAGCGAGCGGCGGACGGGUGAGUAAUGCAUGGGAAUCUGGCUUAUAGAGGGGGAUAACUACUGGAAACGGUAGCUAAUACCGCAUACCAUAGGAUGAGCCCAUGUGGGAUUAGCUAGUUGGUGGGGUAAAGGCUCACCAAGCCGACGAUCUCUAGCUGGUCUGAGAGGAUGACCAGCCACACUGUGACUGAGACACGGCCCAGACUCCUACGGGAGGCAGCAGUGGGGAAUAUUGCGCAAUGGGGGCAAGCUGAUGCAGCCAUGCCGCGUGUAUGAAGAAGGCCUUCGGGUUGUAAAGUUCUUUCGGUGGCGAGGCGUUACCUGCAGAAGAAGCACCGGCUAACUCCGUGCCAGCCGCCGCGGUAAUUC
rnacentral:rRNA from 1 species